AAAGUUUGAUCCUGGCUCARAGCGAACGCUGGCGYWAGGCCUAUCAUAUGCAWSUCGAACGUAUCCUUCGGGAUUAKUGGCGGACGGGUGAKUAACACYUGGSAWCGUGCCUUUUGGUUCKSAACAACUCAGGGAAACUKGAGCUAAUACCGAAUGUGCCCUUCGGGGGAAAGAUUUAUCGCCAUUARAGCGGCCCGCAUCUGAUUAGCUAGUUGGUGAGGUAAAGGCUCACCAAGGCUACSAUCAGURRCUGGUCUGASAGGAKGAUSASCCMCAUUGGGACUGAGACMCGGCCCAWACUCCUACGGGAGGCAGCAGUGGGGAAUCUUGCGCAAUGGGCGAAAGCCUGAWUGGYCAUGCCGCGUGAAUGAUGAAGGUCUUAGGAUUGUAAAAUUCUUUCACCGGGGACGAUAAUGACGGUACCCGGAGAAGAAGCCCCGGCUAACUUCGUGCCAGCAGCCGCGGUAAUACGAAGGGGGCUAGCGUUGCUCGGAAUUACUGGGCGUAAAGGGAGCGUAGGCGGAUAGUUUAGUCAGAGGUGAAAGCCCAGGGCUCAACCUUGGAAUUGCCUUUGAUACUGGCUAUCUUGAGUAUGGGAGAGGUUAGCGGAACUCCGAGUGUAGAGGUGAAAUUCGUAGAUAUUCGGAAGAACACCAGUGGCGAAGGCGGCUAACUGGCCCAUUACUGACGCUGAGGCUCGAAAGCGUGGGGAGCAAACAGGAUUAGAUACCCUGGUAGUCCACGCCGUAAACGAUGAGUGCUAGUUGUCGGCAUGCAUGCAUGUCGGUGACGCAGCUAACGCAUUAAGCACUCCGCCUGGGAAGUACGGUCGCAAGAUUAAAACUCAAAGGAAUUGACGGGGCCCGCACAAGCGGKGGAGCAUGUGGUUUAAUUCGAAGCAACGCGCAGAACCUUACCMCCUUUUGACAUGCCUGGACCGCUGCARARAUGCAGUUUCCCUUCGGGACAGACMCAGGUGCUGCAUGCCUGUCGUCMGCUCGKGUCCUGAAAUGUGGGUAAGUCCSCACGAGCGCACCACGCUUAGUUGCCAUCAUAGUGGCMCYUAAAGGACGCCGUGUACCGAGAGUUGACCASUCAGUCWUCAUGCCUUAUGGCRGGCCUACAMCCGKUCUCAUMAAUG
rnacentral:rRNA from 1 species